rnacentral:rRNA from 1 species
GACAGAGGGUGCAAACGUUGUUCGGAAUUACUGGGCGUAAAGCGCGUGUAGGCGGCCAUGCAAGUCGGAUGUGAAAGCCCUCGGCUCAACCGGGGAAGUGCACUCGAAACUGCAAGGCUAGAGUCUCGGAGAGGAUCGUGGAAUUCUCGGUGUAGAGGUGAAAUUCGUAGAUAUCGGGAGGAACACCGGUGGCGAAGGCGGCGACCUGGGUGGAUACUGACGCUGAGGUGCGAAAGCGUGGGGAGCAAACAGG